rnacentral:lncRNA from 1 species
GAAAGAUGAGUGUGGACGAGGCGUGUGAGAGGAGGAAGCGUGAGCCACGGCUUGCGGGGGUUGGCAUGAGAGAACGGCUGGAUUAGUCGGGGCUGAGAUAAGAGAGAAGAGACGAGCUGUGUUGGUCUGAAGGGGAGAGCGGGAAACAAAAGAAAUCCGGCUAAGAGAGAGACCCGUGGGAGAGGAGAGAGAGAGAGAGAGAUGUGCGGAUGUGGUGGAAACCACCGGUGGCUUUGAUUGGGCAUGUCUUGGUCAGUCUAUUUGAUGGUGGAGGAGCCUUUUCAGGUCAAAUCUGAGAAGAUAAAGGAGAAGAAGAGAAAGAAAGUGAAGGGAAAUGAAGAUAAAGGCAGUGUGGAUGGGCUAACUUUGGAGGCUUACCGACGCCGGAUCUGAAGUCUUUCCGGCAAGGUGAAGAUACCGACGUAAUCUCCAACAAUCCAAGAAUCCAUAGCAACUGACAGAGCUUCAAUAGGAAUUAAACUCAAGGAGUUAUGUGCGUUCUUCCUUGCCAAGUA